rnacentral:tRNA from 1 species
GUCGGCUACCGUUAAUAAAACCCCCUAAUUUCGACUUAGAAAAUCUUGGCAUCACCCCAAGGCCGACA